UGGGGAAUAUUGCACAAUGGGCGCAAGCCUGAUGCAGCCAUGCCGCGUGUGUGAAGAAGGCCUUCGGGUUGUAAAGCACUUUCAGCGAGGAGGAAGGUGGUGCUUAAUACGCUCAUCAUUGACGUUACUCGCAGAAGAAGCAACCGGCUCAACUCCGUGCCAGCAGCCGCGGUAAUACGGAGGGUGCAAGCGUUAAUCGGAAUUACUGGGCGUAAAGCGCACGCAGGCGGUUUGUUAAGUCAGAUGUGAAAUCCCCGGGCUCAACCUGGGAACUGCAUUUGAAACUGGCAAGCUAGAGUCUCGUAGAGGGGGGUAGAAUUCCAGGUGUAGCGGUGAAAUGCGUAGAGAUCUGGAGGAAUACCGGUGGCGAAGGCGGCCCCCCUGGACGAAGACUGACGCUCAGGUGCGAAAAGCGUGGGGAGCAAAACAGGAUUAGAUACCCUGGUAGUCCACGCUGUAAAACGAUGUCGAUUUGGAGGUUGUGCCU
rnacentral:rRNA from 1 species